UACGAAGGGUGCAAGCGUUACUCGGAAUUACUGGGCGUAAAGCGUGCGUAGGUGGUUUGUUAAGUCUGUUGUGAAAGCCCCGGGCUCAACCCAGGAACUGCGUCCGAUACUGGUUGGCUUGAAUCCGGGAGAGGGAUGCGGAAUUCCAGGUGUAGCGGUGAAAUGCGUAGAUAUCUGGAGGAACACCGGUGGCGAAGGCGGCAUCCUGGACCGGCAUUGACGCUGAGGCGCGAAAGCCAGGGGAGCAAACGGG
rnacentral:rRNA from 1 species